GUUAUUUUUUCUUCUCAACUUUGCGAGGUGGUAUUACCAUUCCUGUGUAAUAGAUAAGUAAAUGAAGGCUCAGAGAGGUUAGGUAGUUUGCACAAAGUCACCCAGCUGAAGCUUGGAUGAACUGGACAGAAGCUAGGUCAGUCUAACCCCAAAGAUGAUAAUUUUAAGCAUUGCCUUGUAUAUACUGCACAAAGUACCACUGCUACUUAGAGUGAACAUUAUUUUUUCUAUCAAGCCUGUUCUUGUUUCCUUGGGACCAGAGAAGUUACCAAUAAUUGAGAGACCAGUAAUUUUAAUGUAGGAUCUUUAUGUUUGAGUGUUACUGAAUGGCUGAGUGACUGCUGGCAAGUCAGAUAAGGUCUCCAUUCAGGAGUUUACCCAGCUGUAAGCCAAUGAAGACAAGGCUAAUCUCUAGAGACACUGAGGGAAGAAAUUCUGGAAACCACUUUGGAAAAAAGAUGCUCAAUAAAGAAUGCUAUUAAACACACCAAGCAGAGUUAAGUGAUUUGGAAAGAAAUGAAAACGCUUUACAGUUCAAGAGGAAUAGAUAGACAUAAAUAGUGCUAUUGAAACAUGUGUCAGGAGGGGAAGUAACUAAAGAAACGGGGACUUGGGGAACCCUGGGAUGGAACUCUGUGCUUAGGGUGUCCUUGACUGGCAUUUAUGGGACCAUACAUGCAAAGCAGGUGGUUAUAGACCUGAAACUGGGUGGAAGGGGAAGGAGGAGAUGAAUUUCAAGACUGUUGUGCAUCCCCAUCUCUACAAAAGCAAGAGCAAGGGACAGAGUGGGGUCAGAGGCUGAUGACGAAGGGCACCACGAGAAUACAUCCAUCAGGGAUGCUUGAGUACCAGGAAUGUGCUCUGAUGGAAUCGAACCUUCCUCACAUCCGUCUGUGGCAGGGGCUGAACCUCACCCUCUGAGGGGUGCGAGGCAGCUAUGAGAUGAGCUGCUGAAAAUAUAAGGGUUGCCCAAUGUGUAAUCAUGUAGGCAAGAGCAAACUGUAGGGACUUAGAAAAAAAGAUAAUCUUAAGAAUCUGAAAAAGAAUAGAUACAUGUGUGUGUGUAUAUAUAUAUAUAUAUAUAUAUAUAUAUAUAACUGAAUCACUUUGAUGUACACUUGAAACUAACACAACACUGUUAAUCAACUAUACUCCAUAUAGUUAAAAAAAGUUUAUUUGGAAAAAUAAAAUAAACAAACCAACAAAAAAGAAGAUAAUCUUCACAGAGACAGGUCCACAGGGGACAAAGGACAGAGGGGCCCACAGUAGCCUUGGCUCACAGAGGCAUUUCUUCUCAGCCCCGUUAUCCAGCCAUCAGGGGAGGAAAUGAAUGGGCUUCUUACAGUCCUGGGGUCAUCCUGUCACUGGGGCUGCAUUAGGAAAAUUCCCCAGUUAGAGGACUCUGGUGUCUCCCAGGCUGAGAAAUGAAAGAUUCUUUUCAAAAGCAGAUUAUCAAAAUUAGGUACAUUUACCAAUGUUCAAAACCAUAGGCAGUAAAGGUCACUGAUUCAGUGUUAGACAGAGACCUGGACUCAACCCAGGGUGGGGGGAUGACUCACUCCUGGACUAAGUGUUUACUUUUCCUUGGGUGAGGCAAGCACUGGGCUGGACCUGAGAGUCCCCAGGAGGAAGGAAGAUUCUCUGACUUCGCUUGGCUCACAGCCUGAAGGGACGAACAGAGACUAAACCAACCACCUCAUAAGAAACCAAGAUCAAUAAUUCUGAACUGUAUCAGAAUGCCACAGGAAAGUAAAUGAUUCCACAACUUCAACCACAGCGCUAGAAGCACCCAGCUUCUGCUGAGCACCGUGCUGAGGGCUUGGGGAGAGAUAAUUGCUGAUCCCAGUGAUGGGUCUGCAUGAAUCCUGUACCAUCACCUUCACUAAAGUUUCUCUCCCUUGAAGCCCUCUGUAGAACAAGACACAUCUCAAAGCUUCUCUCUGAUUCUUCUGCUUCUCAAAGAAAUGACCUGGAAGUUUUCUGUGACGAGAUUGUACUGAAUAGUGUUUCCCCCAAAUUCAUGACUACCUGGAACCUCCAAGUGUGACCUUAUUUGGAAAUGGGGUCUUUGCAGAUAUAAUUAGUUAAGAAGAGGUGACACUGGAGUAGGGUGGCCCUUAGAUUCAAUGACUGGUGUCCUUAUAAGAAGAGAAGAGACACCUGCAGUGACAGAGUGAAGAAGGCCAUGUGAAGAUGAGGCAGAGGUUGGAGUGAUGCUGCUAUAAGUUGAGGGGUAUCUAAAGCCACCAGAAGCUGCAAGAGGAAAGGAAGGAUUCUUUUUUAGAGCUUUCACAGGAAGCGUGGCCCUCCUAACAUCUUGAUUUUGGACUUCCAGCAUCCAGAACUAUGAAAGAAUAAGUUUCUGUCAUUUAAGGCCCUCCAUUUUUGGUUAUCUGCUAUGGAAGCCCCUGGAAACAAACACCAGGAAGUUUUAGUGGGGCUUUUCAGUUGCCCACCCAGCCUAUUACCAGCCACUACCCAGUGUUUCUAAUAAAGCUGGGAGGGGAGAAGGAGGACAUUGGAGUAAGAGACGUCCCUCUCAACAUGAAGACAAGUGAGACAACCCAGGGAAAUACUAAAAGAUUGGAGGUGCCCGAAAGAAAAGGAGACUUGCCUUCCCCCACUGGCCAUUGGCUUAAGAAGUGGACUUGCCGAUUUGCCUCUCUGAGAGACAUGGGAGGGGAGGCAGCCUGGACAGAGGGUGGGCGUGAAGCAGGCUGAGUUUCUUGUGGGUCAGUGGACAUCCCAGAAAGGAAGCUGAGCUUGAACCAUCUUGCUGGUACCCAGCUAAGAAGAGUGUCCGUCAGGCACAGGAAUCCUAGCAGUAAGAGGCUUUGGGAUUUUCCCCUGAUGUAGGGAACAGUGGGGCAGGGUUGAAAGAGGUCAACCAAGCACCAGGUUCUGAAUGUCAGGGAAUUGUGCAGUAGGUGGGGGCAGAGAAGGGAGCUGACAGAGCCCUCAGAGCUCAUGCAUGCACCCCACAAGACAGCCAGCAUUUGGACGCUGCCAUUCAGAGGAAUCAUAAGCCAGGUGGCCAGCAGAGCUUCAAGAACCACCCAAGAGAGCAUGCCAGUAGCGACCACUUAAGUGAAUAGGCCUGUGUCCCUUUCUGGUGCCUCCCUGCUGCCCCAUCAACUGAGACAGCUCAGGCAGCAGGGUGUGGGCGUUGUAGAAGCAGAUCUCAUCCACCCUUCAGCAUUUAAGGUCCCAGCUCAAGUCUGCAUAGAGGGAAGGAGGGCAUGGGAUUUACAUCAAGAUUGAGAUUGAAGCUUUGGAAUGCACCAGUGACUAGGAAGGUAUGGAUUCUGCCCAAGAUACUGUUAAGGGGUGUUCAAAGGAUGAUUCGACAGAGCAACGUGAGAAGGGCCAUGUGUAGAAGAAACAAAACCAUUUUGUGUUUGUAACCCCAUGUUCGGAGACUCCUUAAUAAACCGUUACAGUCUCAAGAGUUUUUGCUGUAUUUAUGUAUUUACUCAUGUGAUAGGGACACGAACAGCAGUGAAUGGACUCGUCUGGUCUUCAUCUUCUCAUUUUCAACUGCAAGCCUGUUGGGAAAGGGACAGGAUCAUUGGUGUUUUCCCUCAAGACUCUUAGUGCUUUGAGACCAAGAACUUGGGCUUGUUUCUCUGUCUACCUUGCAGUUGUCAGAUGAGCCCAGUGAGUGCCAGCUGAGGAAUUCAGGAAUGGAUCAAAGAAUAAAUUGAGAAUAAAGACUGAGAAUAAGGACGGAAGACAUCUCACCUACAUUUCAAAAGGACCCUCCAACCCCCCUUUCUAGACAUUUUACCUCAGGAGUCAGCAUCACGGUUCUGGUGUGGAGGACGGCAAGACAGCAGAGUGACUAUACUAUUCUGUGGAAGACAUGGGGCUUGGGGGGCUGAGGUUCCCUCAUCCCAAGUGAAUGCCAGUUAGAGAUGAGAAGUAAGGGUCAGAGCUUGGGGGAGGAGCUCUGGGAGGGGAAAGGGGUGGAGAAUUCUAAGCAGUGACUGCCGACGGGGAAAGGGAGAGAGAUUCUGUGUUUGUGUUGUCUACAUGGAACACACCAGGGCAACCGUUUUUUAGGUCGAAUACAGCUAUGAUAUAGAGAUGUAUAUAUUAAGGAAAGGUGUUUAGCUUGUUUAUAUACGUCCCUUAAAAUGUUUAAUAUGGAAGCAACCUAAAUGUCCGUUGACAGAUGAAUGGAUAAAGAAGAUAUGGUAUAUAUAUAUAUAUAUACACACACACACAUAUACAAUGGAAUACUACUCAUCCAUAAAAAGAAUGAAAUAAUGCCAUUUGCAGAAACAUGGAUAGACCGAGAGAUUAUCAUACUAAGUGAAGUAUGUCAGACAGAGAAAAGACAAAUAUCACAUGAUAUCACUUACAUUUGGACUCUAAAAAAAUGAUAUAAAUGAACUUAUUUAUAAAACAGAAAUAGACUCACAGAUGUAGAAAACAAACUUAUGGUUACCAAAGGGGAAAGGGGGGGAGGAGGGAUAAAUUAGGAGCUUGGGAUUAACAGAUACACACUACCAUAUAUAAAAUAGAUAAACAACAAGGACCUACUGUAUAGUACAGGGAACUAUAUUCAAUAUUUUGUAAUAACCUAUAAUGGAAAAGAAUCUGAAAAAGAAUAUAUAUACAGUUGUAUAACCGAAUCACUUUGCUGUACACCUGAAACUAAUACAACAUUGUAAAUCAAUUAUACUUCAAUAAAAAAAAAUGUUGCCAUUCAAAUUGCUUCAAAGGAAAAAAACUGUUUAACAACUGCGUUCUGGAGAGGAGUAUAUAUUUGUGGAUGCGUAAGAGCAAUGCGGCUAUGAAUUAGGAACUGGGAAAUAAGUAUCCUAUUGCAUGCAUAUCUUCAUGUCUUUGCAUCUUCAGGUGAACUUUGGUUUUAGACAGCACAAUGCCGAUCCCAAGACUUGAGUCAUCCUGAGAGAUUUUAUUUCAGUGGUGCAGUGUUCUAUUUUAUGAGAGAAUUUUAGAAGAGAGAACUUCCAUCGUAGCCAUGUACUGAGAGGAUGGAUCCACGCCAGUGGAAGGCGGAGGCCAAGCCUCCUUCCUUUCUUGCGAGCUAACCUUGGCUUCCCAGACAAGCCACAGCGAGGACUUUUUAUCUGAGGCAAGUUCAGUCCCGGACAAAGGCAAACUCAUUCCUGUGAGUUAGGGACCCUGAGAAAGCUCCUUACUAGGAAACCUCUACCCUAUUGCCACAAUGUCUGAAAUUUCACUGUAACAGCCUCCUGGGUGGCCAUCUACAGACCGCCUCCCCCCUUUUAAAAUUGUGGUGAAAUUCACAUAACACAAAAUUAACCUUUUUUUUUUUUUUUUUUUUUUGCGGUACGCGGGCCUCUCACUGUUGUGGCCUCUCCCGUUGCGGAGCACAGGCUCCGGACGCGCAGGCUCAGCGGCCAUGGCUCACGGGCCCAGCCGCUCCGCGGCACGAACCCGCGUCCCCUGCAUCGGCAGGCGGACUCUCAACCACUGCGCCACCAGGGAAGCCCCAAAUUAACCAUUUUAAAGUGAAGAAUUCAGUGGCAUUAAGUAGACCCACAGCACUGUAUAACCACCACCUCUCUCUAGUUCCAAAACAACUUCAUCACCCCAAAAGGAAAUCCUGUACCCACUAAGCAGUCAUUCCUCAUUCUCCCUCCAGCCCCUGGCAACCACAAGUCUGCUUUCUGUGUCUACGGAUUAGCCUGUUCUGGGCAUCUCAUAUGAAUGGAAUCGCACA